GAUGAACGCUAGCGGGAGGCCUAACACAUGCAAGCCGAGCGGUAUUGUUUCUUCGGAAAUGAGAGAGCGGCGUACGGGUGCGGAACACGUGUGCAACCUGCCUUUAUCUGGGGGAUAGCCUUUCGAAAGGAAGAUUAAUACUCCAUAAUAUAUUGAACGGCAUCGUUUAAUAUUGAAAGCUCCGGCGGAUAGAGAUGGGCACGCGCAAGAUUAGCUAGUUGGUGAGGUAACGGCUCACCAAGGCGAUGAUCUUUAGGGGGCCUGAGAGGGUGACCCCCCACACUGGUACUGAGACACGGACCAGACUCCUACGGGAGGCAGCAGUGAGGAAUAUUGGUCAAUGGGUGCAAGCCUGAACCAGCCAUCCCGCGUGAAGGACGACUGCCCUAUGGGUUGUAACUUACUUUUGUAUAGGGAUAAACCUACCCUCGUGAGGGUAGCU
rnacentral:rRNA from 1 species